GAUGAACGCUGGCGGCGUGCCUAAUACAUGCAAGUCGAGCGAACAGACGAGGAGCUUGCUCCUCUGACGUUAGCGGCGGACGGGUGAGUAACACGUGGAUAACCUACCUAUAAGACUGGGAUAACUUCGGGAAACCGGAGCUAAUACCGGAUAAUAUAUUGAACCGCAUGGUUCAAUAGUGAAAGACGGUUUUGCUGUCACUUAUAGAUGGAUCCGCGCCGCAUUAGCUAGUUGGUAAGGUAACGGCUUACCAAGGGAACGAUGCGUAGACGACCUGAGAGGGUGAUCGGCCACACUGGAACGGAGACACGGUCCAGACUCCUACGGGAGGCAGCAGUAGGGAAUCUUCCGCAAUGGGCGAAAGCCUGACGGAGCAACGCCGCGUGAGUGAUGAAGGUCUUCGGAUCGUAAAACUCUGUUAUUAGGGAAGAACAAAUGUGUAAGUAACUAUGCACGUCUUGACGGUACCUAAUCAGAAAGCCACGGCUAACUACGUG
rnacentral:rRNA from 1 species